GGAUGUGAGGUGAUCUGGCUGCAACAUCUGUCACCCCAUUGAUCGCAGGGUUGAUUUGGCUGAUCUGGCUGGCCGGCAGGUGUCCUCUUCCUUCCUUACCGCCCCAGGUGUGUCCCUCCCGAAGCUGUGAUCUGGAUAGAAGAGGGGGACCCCCCCCAAGAGGAGGACCUAGGUCAAGGGUAUACGAGUAGCUGCGCUCCCCUGCUAGAACCUCCAAACAAGCUCUCAAAAAGUCAGUGCCAUGAGGGAAAAGGUAGAAAAACUAUUGUAGAAUAAGAGACUAAAGAGAUGUAAAAGCCAAAAGCAGUGCUC
ensembl:misc_RNA 7SK 7SK RNA